AUUGAACGCUGGCGGCAGGCCUAACACAUGCAAGUCGAGCGGACGGUCGGACGAGUGAGGAAUAGAUGGGGAUCUGCCCGAUGGAGGGGGAGAACGGCUGGAAACGGUAGCUAAUACCGCAUACUAUCGGAUCAACCCAGGUGGGAUUAGCUAGUUGGUGAGGUAAAUGCCCACCAAGGCGACGAUCCCUAGCUGGUCUGAGAGGAUGAUCAGUCACACUGGAACUGAGACACGGCCCAGACUCCUACGGGAGGCAGCAGUGGGGAAUAUUGGACAAUGGGCGAAAGCCUGAUGCAGCCAUGCCGCGUGUAUGAAGAAGGUCUUCGGAUUGUAAAGUACUUUCAGUUGGGAGGCGUUACCGACAGAAUAAGCACCGGCUAACUUCGUGCCAGCAGCCGCGGUAAUAC
rnacentral:rRNA from 1 species